AACUACAGCAAAUACAGUAUUAACCCCCUUUCUUAAAGACAAACUACAGCAACUACAGUACUUGCUAGCUUGCAUCAGCCUGGUUUUCUGUCUGUGAGUAUGUGGUGUGCUCUGGCGCUUAUCCUGCCUACUUUGGAGAGGGAACCAUGCUAACAGUUCUGGAGCCAGACAUCCCUGUCACUCCACCCACAGUCAAAGUCCUUCCACCCUCCACUAAGGAGUGUGAAGAUAGGAACAAGAAGAAGAAGAAGACGUUGGUGUGUGUGGCCACCGACUUCUACCCCGACCACGUCACUGUGUUCUGGAAGUUAAAUGGAGGCGCCAACAUCACCGAUGGAGUGGGGACCGACAACACUGCCUUGAGGGAUGAAAACAGACGCUACAGUAUCACCAGCAGACUGAGAGUCCCAGCCAAGACAUGGAACACGGCCUCUAACAGAUUCACCUGCACCGUCCGCUUCUUCAAUGGGACCGAUGACAUAUAUGUUGCAGAUCACAUUGACGGAGAAGAAGGUGGUGAUGGAGGGAUGACGACAGAGUACUACGUGAAGAGCACCCAGACUGCCAAGCUGGCCUACAGCUUCUUUAUCGCUAAGAGUACCUUCUACGGCCUGGUCGUCAUGGCUCUGAUUUGGAAGUUUCAGCGCUCCUCAGAUAAACAGAUGUAAUUGAUCCCUGACCGAGACCCGGCCACCUGUGGAAGCUGAGCUCGGUGGACUGGAGGGAGUCAUGUGUGGCAUAAGGCUCUGGUGAAAAGUAGUGCGCUAUAAAGUAGUGCACUAUAAAGGGAAUAGGAUGCCCUUUGGGACGAAGAACAAACCUAUUUCUGUCUUGUGAUUACAAUGUAGUGUGCUGUCUAUUAUCUGUCACUUACUAUACAAUGCGAGGAUGUAUUUUAUCGUCCCCAAUAAACAGAAUCUUUAUUCAUGUAUUCACUGAGUGUACAAAACAUUAAGAACACCUUCCUCAUCCUCCCCCUUCAAUUCGUCAGGACAUGGACUCUACAAGGUGUUGACAGCGUUCCACAGGGAUGCUGGCCCAUGUUGACUCCAAUGC